UAACAUCCGGAAACGGGUGCUAAUACCGCAUAGUUUUCUUGAUCGCAUGAUUGAGAAAGGAAAGACGGCCUUUGUGCUGUCGCUUAUGGAUGGACCCGCGGCGUAUUAGUUAGUUGGUGAGGUAACGGCUCACCAAGACGAUGAUACGUAGCCGACCUGAGAGGGUGAUCGGCCACAUUGGGACUGAGACACGGCCCAAACUCCUACGGGAGGCAGCAGUAGGGAAUCUUCCGCAAUGGACGAAAGUCUGACGGAGCAACGCCGCGUGAGUGAAGAAGGUUUUCGGGAAUCGUAAAACUCUGUUGUCAGAGAAGAACAAGUUGGAGUAGUAACUGCUCCAGCUUUGACGGUAUCUGACCAGAAAGACCACGGCUAACUACGUGCCAGCAGCAGC
rnacentral:rRNA from 1 species